rnacentral:rRNA from 1 species
GAUGAACGCUGGCGGCGUGCUUAAUACAUGCAAGUCGAACGGAGACUGUAGCAAUACUGUCUUAGUGGCGAACGGGUGAGUAACGCGUUGGUGACCUGCCCCGAAGAGGGGGAUAACAGUCCGAAAGGAUUGCUAAUACCCCAUGUGGUCAUUUGGAUUAGAUGCCUUAUGACUAAACGGAUUUAUUCGCUUCGGGAGGGGCCUGCGUCCCAUCAGCUAGUUGGUAAGGUAAUGGCUUACCAAGGCUAUGACGGGUAGGGGACCUGAGAGGGUGGCCCCCCACAAUGGAACUGAAACACGGUCCAUACACCUACGGGUGGCAG